rnacentral:snRNA from 1 species
UGUCCUUCAUAGGAGGUCUAUAUUGAGUAGAUUUUUGGAGUUGGGAGGUGGAACUGGAGCUUGCUCCAUCCCCUCCAUGCAUCGGCCUGGUACUCCAGUGCUUCCAGGAGCAGUGC